GGACGGUCAAGAUCGUUUUUACAGUGCACGCCAUCCUUCCAUUGCCCGCUGUCACGUAUAAGUACUCCGAUGAAGGCUUCCCCGCCUUUGGAGUGCCCUACCGACUCGAGACCAUGGUGGAGUCCCCGAGGCUGGAGCGGGAAAUCCGAAGCCGAAGCCUCGCGCCCGGUGACGUUCCACGAGAGCUGGUGGCAGCGGAGGCGGGGAAGACGUGGAUCCUAGAUUUCCUUUACCGUCCUCACGUACAGGACGGCGAAAUGGGCGGUUUUGCUCCGCAAACGCGAGACCUUUCUGCUCUUUCCUCUUGGGCUAUUUUCCGGCGGAAGUUCCUCCCCAUAUGGUUCUUCCGUUCCAGAAGCGGUCCAUCGACGGCGGUGGCGAACAGACGGGGCUCGGAAUGGGUGGUACGGUGUUCUUCUCGAGGUGUCGCCGAAAGAAGAGGAAGGGGAAAGAAAGGACAGAGGAGGGGGAGGAGAAUAGAAGAGAAAAGGUGGCCUCUCCUGAUUCGAAGAUGACGGAGGGGAUCAAUGGAGGGGCUGGCGUCCGCUCGUUGGAUGCGUUCGCAGGAGCUAGGAAGCCGAAAGAGAUAUCUUUUGACAUAGGAAUGGGAGUGGGUAUGGCUUUCAUCCUGUUCAGGUGGGCGACUGAAUUGAACAAAAUGAAGGAGCAAUGAAUUCAAAUGGAAAUGCUGUUCAAAUAAAUUAAAGAUGUAAUCCCAAAGAUAGGCGAUGAUUUUGGCAUCUUAAGAUCAAAUCAUGAUAUCACAUCAUCAUCAUCAGAUUGUCGUGGGAAUGCCAGUAAAUGCAACCAGAAUCAAGGGGCAAGUUUUCAUUGGAAGAGGCUAAGUCUACCAUUGAAUCUGAUGGGCAUUCGAAUUAUGUGAUUAGCACCGAGAAACGAAAUAUAGAUCAACUGGAAGCAAAGUUAGAGUUCGAAUUAGAGCAGCUGCAGCUUGAGUUGGACAGGGAGAAUUCAGUAAUGAUCUCAGAACGAGGGCAAAUAGAGGUAUUCUUCUUCUCAGUAAAUCUGUUCUCCUUAUUGGGAAUGUUGUUUUAAUAACUAGCAUUUGUUGAAAUGGAGAAAUUAUUUUGCAUAUACCAUGAAAUUUAGCUUAGAUCAUAAUAUGACCCACUAACUUUUUAAUGAACCUAAUGAACCUGCCUCACCUUUUUUUUUAAAUUUUGGAACAUUCUUUUAUGAUUCCUAUAUAAUAGUUUUGUUGAUACCAAGUAGACUAGGUACAGUAUAAAUUACUGAUUAUAAGGCUUCUUGGGCCCCAUAGUGAGUUCGAUAUGAUAAGUGAUCAUUUGGGAUGGUCCAGAUUGUGUUUUGGGUUAUAUAUCUCUUCGCAAGCCAUUUGACUCAAAGGGAAUCUUCUUGGAGGCUAUCGCGCAAAUGAAUUGAAGUAAAUAUGCUUAGUUUAGGGUAUAAAGAUUUUGAAUGCCAUGUUCCUCUCCUUGUAAUGGAUUGUAUAUGUCUUGCCAAGAAACUUUGUGGAGGCCUUUAAUGUCAUCUCCUUGUCAUAAGAAAUGAGCCAUUAUUUGUUCUAGUCGAUGAAUUACCCUCCGUGCCAAGCAACUCCUAGUGUAUGCUUGUGGAGCUUCAAGAAUAUAUUGCAAAUAAAGGUACAUGUUGGAUCUAUGAUUUCUCAUAUAAUUAGAAAUGAGGACACCUUUCUUUGGCUUGAUCCGUGACACGCAAGAGGUAUUCUAAAACUUGUUGUUGGGGACUAUAUUGAUUAUGAAAUUUCCACUAACCCUUUAGCUAGAGUUUUUGAAAUUUGCAAGGAUGGAGUGUGGGUUGUUGGCCACCCCCAUUCACCAGCUUUAAUCCUCGUUUGGGAUGCUAUUCUUGACAUUAUCACUUUCCCUCAUUCUCGGAAUGAUUGUGUGGUGUGAAACCCUUCAACUUUUGGAGUUUUUACACUUAAAUCAGCUUACACAGCAAUGGAUGAGCCUUCAAAUAUGGUUGCAUGAAGUAAUCUUGUCAGGUUUAAGGGCAACAUACCAAGGUAUUCUUUCAUCUCUUGGCUUGUUUGUUUAAACAUGUUGAGCACUUUGGAUAGAUUGAUAAAGUGGAGAAUCUGCACCAAUUCCUCUUGCUACUUAUGCAGUCAAGAAGAUGAAAGCAUGCAUCGCCUAUUUUUUUGAUUGCACUUUCUCAUCACUGAGUGUGGGGAGCCAUUUUGAGCAGAUGCGACCUAUCCCACUCGCCACAGGGGUGGAACAUAGAAUUUAUACGGGUAUGCAAUCAUUGGAAAAACGAGAGUUUCAUAAGUCGAAUUGAGAAACUAUCUUUCACAGCUAUCAUAUAUCAUAUCUGGGUUUAGAGGAAUCACAUAUUUGAGUCAAACACCUAAAGAUCUCUAGAUAUUAUUAUUUCAGUCUUUGUGCAAGAUGUGAGUAGGAGAAUGCAAAACGAAUCCACGAUUGUAGUAGACAUCGCAUCAACUCAAGCCAUUGUCGCAAAUUGGAAUCCAUGCCCAAACUUCGCAACACUUAAGUCUACGUGGCACCACUAGACCCCUCCCAUUGAGGGUAUUAUUGUCAUAUAUACUGAUGCCUCUGUCUCUACUUCCAUAGUUGGGUUGGGAUGUGUUUUUUGAGACUAUUUUGGAAGCCCCAUUUGUGCUAUGACGAAAAGCAGAUCAAAGGAAGAUCUCAUUCUACUACAUGAAUUAUAAGCUAUCCUCCUUGUCCUUUUGAAGCUAAAAGAAGAAAAUUUCGCUUGAUCCAUCUUUGGUCUGAUUCACAAGUCGUUGUGGAUAUUCUCAACAGUUGUAAUAAUGUGUCAGGGUGUUACCAAAUUACUUUAAGAAUAUAUUCAUGCUAUUUAAGAGAGCUUCGAGAUUCUGGAAUUCUUUUUCAUCCUUUAAGAAGCUAAGAAGUCAGCUGACUUCCUCACCCAUCUGUGUAAGUCCAAAGAGAAGAUCUUGCUACCCCCCUCAGGGUUUCUGGACGAAUUGUGGCGGUUGAUUGAAGUUGAUGUGUAUAAGAGGGAAUAUGUUAGACUAGUGUGAUUCUCAUGGGUUCUUUGUAUGACUUAGUUACAUCUCUAUAUAUCUAGUAGUUAUAUAUGAUGAUGUGUACAUGUAAUAUGUGAUGUGGACAGAAUAUCAUAAACCGUGUGACGUAUGUGUACAUGUGAUAUGAUUAUUAUUAUUAUUGGGGCCUACGAGCUUUCAAUUUUAUUCUCGUUUAUUGUUGAGCUUAUGUGCUUAUGAUUAAGUUAUAAUCACAUGAGGAGGCUCUACGGGAGCGUAGAGGCAAUAGCGAGAACCACGAGGUCGAGAUGGACCAUCGCGAUGCAUGAAGAUGCGUAGAGAUGCCGAUUGAACCGAUGAGAACGAGAUGAAUGAUCAUAGGGCAUGGAGAUGCGCCACUGCAUACAUAAAUCUUGAUGUGAGUGAUUAAGCCCAUUGGCUCAGGCUCGAUCACCUUAGGAUGUGGUCCAUGAUCAUCUGAUAUGAUUUGUCAUGUGAUGUGUGAUUGCUAACAUACCUACUAAAUAUGUAUAUAUAUAUUUUCAUACGAUGUAGAUAUAUAUUAAAUAUGUAUGUGUAUGAUAUGUCAUAGGAGAUCAAAUUAAAAUCCCCUCUUUCGAUAAAAUUAAGUCGGUAAAUGUAAGAUAAUUAGAUUGACCCAUGUUGUCUUCCAUCGUUAUAGGUAGGAAUCGAUUCCCGACAUAGGUUGAGUCCCUCGAGAUUCACCUAUAUCGCGAUUCACUAUCUUACCUAUGACCUAUGACAUAUAGAUGUCACCGGUGACCUGAGGAUGUGAUAUGCUUGGUCGAGUCCCUCGAGGGCAUAUCAUUGAAUCAGACUCAUCUUGUAAUAAUGAUGAUGGCUUAACCGAACAUCAUGGCUUGUCGAGUCUCUCGAGACCAUGGAAGUUCGGAGGCUAAAUAGGAUGGGAAUAACAAAGGGUUGUGAUUGACAAGAGUUACCUAUCUUUACGGGCUUAGCGUGAUUGGUCGAGUCCCUCGAGGUUAUGUUAAGACGCCGAUUGAAUCCCGAUCCCCAUUAGAGAUUUGUCGGGGGUCUCCGAUUCACAUAUCGGAGGAAGUUGUUUCAAUUUAUCAGAAAAUAUUACAGAUAUACUUAAAUUGUGCAGGACACAAACUAACAGAUCGGAUUUCAAAUACAAGCCGAACAUUACACUGGAUACUUCUUUUAGGUUCAGCAAAGAGAGAGGAAUCGGCAGCGAGGGCAUCAUUGGCUGUAUUGUCCUUGCAAGUCUUAAGUAGCUUGGAGAGAGAUUCAUUUAAAAGGAAUUUAUCUUAAAUAAAAAUAUGAUAUUAAUUUAAAAAUAUACUAUUAACAGUAUAUCAGUUACUAUUAAUAGUAGUUAUAGGGAAAGAGAAGAACUGUUAAUAAUAACAGAGGGGAUAAAACCAACAGAAAGUGACGAGAAUAGCUACGAGAACGUUACUGUAAAUGCAACCCAAGUUCUUUUACCAGUGCAGAUACUCCAUAUGUUAUUGAUUAUUCUUUGAUAAUGCUAAACACUGAUGCACACAAUUGCAUGGUGAAAGACACGGUUUGUUACUGAUGAUUUUCUUUGGUAAUCUUUAACUGCCGCUGUACUAAAAUGUCAAACCUAAUUUUCUUUGUAGAUGUCAAAAGUCAAAUUUAUACGAAUAAUUGAGGAAUGGAUGAUGGGAAGGAUUUACCUGAAGAUUAUUUGAGUUAUUUAUAUGAUCAAAUUGUGAAAAGUGAAAUAAAAAAUUAGUGUUGAUUCAUCAGCUCCACAGAGUAAGCAAACGAGCAGCAUCAAUAAGCUUUUGGGAUUAGAUAGGAUUUCCAACUUGGUCAAUUGGAAGCAAGCAGAAGAAAGAGCAUUAGGUGCAAAUGAUUUGCUCAUUAGGCACAACCAAGAACAGUUUAAAGCAAAAAGUGGAAAAUCAGAGUCUAUGUUCUAUGCUGCAACGGAUACGGCAAUCCUGAGAUUUAUGAUUGAGGUUUGCUGGGCCCCCAUGAUGGCUGCUUUCUGUGUGAUGCUUGACCAAAGUGAUGACAAGUCUGCCACAGCACAGUGUUUGCAGGGCUUCCGAUAUGCAGUGCAUGUCACCUUAGUGAUGCAUAUGCAGACACAGAGAGAUGCUUUUGUCACAUCCGUAGCAAAAGUCACAUACCUUCAUUGUGCUGCGGACAUGAAUGUUGAUGCUGUUAAGGUGAACCACUUGAGUUAAUGAUAUUUUCCUCCUCCAGCUACAAACUGUAUUAGUUUUAUUGAGAAAAUUUAUCUUUGGUAUUUCCUGAUAAUUGGGUGGUGGGUAACGUAUCCUAUCAUGUAUAGGACUUUCCCUAGAUUUUCUUAAUUAUUUCAAUUGAAGAUCUGUAUAACAUUAUAUAUCUAUUAAUUACUAAAUUUUGAUAUUGUAACAAAUAGAACAUUGUCAUCUAACCUUGUGAUACAGUCUCAUCAAAUACAAUGCAAACUUACUGAACAA